rnacentral:rRNA from 1 species
GACCUCAAAUCAGUAAGAACCCCGAUC